rnacentral:rRNA from 1 species
CCAGGUCUUGACAUCCUCUGACAACCCUAGAGAUAGGGCUUCUCCUUCGGGAGCAGAGUGACAGGUGGUGCAUGGUUUGUCGUCAGCUCGUGUCGUGAGAUGUUGGGUUAAGUCCCGCAACGAGCGCAACCCUUGAUCUUAGUUGCCAUCAUUAAGUUGGGCACUCUAAGGUGACUGCCGGUGACAAACCGGAGGAAGGUGGGGAUGACGUCAAAUCAUCAUGCCCCUUAUGACCUGGGCUACACACGUGCUACAAUGGACGGUACAAAGAGCUGCAAGACCGCGAGGUGGAGCUAAUCUCAUAAAACCGUUCUCAGUUCGGAUUGUAGGCUGCAACUCGCCUACAUGAAGCUGGAAUCGCUAGUAAUCGCGGAUCAGCAUGCCGCGGUGAAUACGUUCCCGGGCCUUGUACACACCGCCCGUCACACCACGAGAGUUUGUAUCACCCGAAGUCGGUGGGGU